rnacentral:rRNA from 1 species
CCUACGGGAGGCAGCAGUGGGGAAUAUUGCACAAUGGGCGGAAGCCUGAUGCAGCGACGCCGCGUGAGGGAUGAAGGCCUUCGGGUUGUAAACCUCUUUCAGCAGGGACGAAGCGUGAGUGACGGUACCUGCAGAAGAAGCACCGGCUAACUACGUGCCAGCAGCCGCGGUAAUACGUAGGGUGCGAGCGUUGUCCGGAAUUACUGGGCGUAAAGAGUUCGUAGGCGGUUUGUCGCGUCGUUUGUGAAAACCCGGGGCUCAACUUCGGGCUUGCAGGCGAUACGGGCAGACUUGAGUGUUUCAGGGGAGACUGGAAUUCCUGGUGUAGCGGUGAAAUGCGCAGAUAUCAGGAGGAACACCGGUGGCGAAGGCGGGUCUCUGGGAAACAACUGACGCUGAGGAACGAAAGCGUGGGUAGCAAACAGGAUUAGAUACCCUGGUAGUCCACGCCGUAAACGGUGGGCGCUAGGUGUGGGUUCCUUCCACGGGAUCUGUGCCGUAGCUAACGCAUUAAGCGCCCCGCCUGGGGAGUACGGCCGCAAGGCUAAAACUCAAAAUGAAGUAGACGGCGUGAGACGUUGUCCGAACGGACGACGACGAGGGAGGAGG